GGAAUCCUCUGUUUGGGGGAUGAAGCCUUUGUGAUCCUGCCGCCUUUAAUUUCCUGCACCUGCUAAGACCGCAUAGACAAUGGACACCCUUUGCCAACCCAUGUGGACGGGCCACGUUUUGCUGAAAUGUGGGUUGGCAAUUUUGACAAUCUUUUGAAAGGGUUAAUGAUCCUUUUGUUUAAUAAUAUAACUUAACUUUUCUGGCUUAUCUUGUGUUGUUAUCCUUCAAUAAUCCUCUUAUUUCU
rnacentral:lncRNA from 1 species